rnacentral:rRNA from 1 species
AUUGAACGCUGGCGGCAGGCUUAACACAUGCAAGUCGAGCGGGGUGAAGUGCUUCGGUACUGAUCCUAGCGGCGGACGGGUGAGUAAUGCUUAGGAAUCUGCCAUUUAGUGGGGGACAACAUUCCAAAAGGAAUGCUAAUACCGCAUACGUCCUACGGGAGAAAGCAGGGGAUCUUCGGACCUUGCGCUAAAGGAUGAGCCUAAGUCGGAUUAGCUAGUUGGUGGGGUAAAGGCCUACCAAGGCGAAGAUCUGUAGCGGUUCUGAGAGGAUGAUCCGCCACACUGGGACUGAGACACGGCCCAGACUCCUACGGGAGGCAGCAGUGGGGAAUAUUGGACAAUGGGCGGAAGCCUGAUCCAGCCAUGCCGCGUGUGUGAAGAAGGCCUUUUGGUUGUAAAGCACUUUAAGCGAGGAGGAGGCUACCUGGAUUAAUACUCUGGGAUAGUGGACGUUACUCGCAGAAUAAGCACCGGCUAACUCUGUGCCAGCCGCCGCGGUAAUAC